AUGUUCUCAUCAUCAGUGCUGCUCCUGCUUACAGCUGCAAUCUGUGGUGUUGAGAGUGUGGAGCUCACCCAGCCGGCCUCUGUGAUAGUGAGGCCUGGAGAACAGUUCUCCAUCUCCUGUAAGAUCUCUGAGUCCAGCUACUGUAUACACUGGAUACGCCAACCUGCCGGGAAAGCUCUGGAAUGGCUCGGGUAUCUGUGUGAAAGUGGUGGCACUAACAUUAAGGACACGGUGAAAAACAAGAUCAGUUUCAGCCAGGACAAAACCAUCAGCACCGUUUAUUUACGAGGACAAAACUUUCAGCCGGAGGACGCAGCUGUGUUUUACUGCGCCAGAGACACAGCAGCACAAACACAGAGGAGUCCUCGGAUAAGCAAAUAUGAUCUACAGGACUGGAUCUCUCACUAUUUAGGUGAAGAGUCUCAGUUAAGGAUCUCUGGAGAUCAGACACCAGCAGAUCCUCCUCCACCAUGUUCUCUCCAUCAUCUCUACUGCUCCUGCUGGCAGCUGCUUCCUGUGGACGUUGUGUUGAACUGA